rnacentral:rRNA from 1 species
UCCAGACUCCUACGGGAGGCAGCAGUGGGGAAUAUUGCACAAUGGGGGAAACCCUGAUGCAGCGACGCCGCGUGAGUGAAGAAGUAUUUCGGUAUGUAAAGCUCUAUCAGCAGGGAAGAAAAUGACGGUACCUGACUAAGAAGCCCCGGCUAACUACGUGCCAGCAGCCGCGGUAAUACGUAGGGGGCAAGCGUUAUCCGGAUUUACUGGGUGUAAAGGGAGCGUAGGUGGCAUGGUAAGCCAGAAGUGAAAACCCGGGGCUCAACCCCGCGGAUUGCUUUUGGAACUAUCAGGCUGGAGUGCUGGAGGGGUAAGCGGAAUUCCUAGUGUAGCGGUGAAAUGCGUAGAUAUUAGGAGGAACACCGGUGGCGAAGGCGGCUUACUGGACAGAAACUGACACUGAGGCUCGAAAGCGUGGGGAGCAAACAGGAUUAGAUACCCUCGUA